rnacentral:rRNA from 1 species
GGUUAAGCGACUAAGCGUACACGGUGGAUGCCCUGGCAGUCAGAGGCGAUGAAGGACGUGCUAAUCUGCGAAAAGCGUCGGUAAGGUGAUAUGAACCGUUAUAACCGGCGAUGUCCGAAUGGGGAAACCCAGUGCAAUUCGUUGCACUAUCGUUAACUGAAUACAUAGGUUAACGAGGCGAACCGGGGGAACUGAAACAUCUAAGUACCCCGAGGAAAAGAAAUCAACCGAGAUUCCCCCAGUAGCGGCGAGCGAACGGGGAGCAGCCCAGAGUCUGAAUCAGCUUGUGUGUUAGUGGAACGGUCUGGAAAGUCCGACGGUACAGGGUGAUAGUCCCGUACACCAAAAUGCACAGGCUGUGAACUCGAAGAGUAGGGCGGGACACGUGGUAUCCUGUCUGAAUAUGGGGGGACCAUCCUCCAAGGCUAAAUACUCCUGACUGACCGAUAGUGAACCAGUACCGUGAGGGAAAGGCGAAAAGAACCCCGGCGAGGGGAGUGAAAAAGAACCUGAAACCGUGUACGUACAAGCAGUGGGAGCACCUUCGGGUGUGACUGCGUACCUUUUGUAUAAUGGGUCAGCGACUUAUAUUCUGUAGCAAGGUUAACCGUAUAGGGGAGCCGCAGGGAAACCGAGUCUUAACUGGGCGUUAAGUUGCAGGGUAUAGACCCGAAACCCGGUGAUCUAGCCAUGGGCAGGUUGAAGGUUGGGUAACACUAACUGGAGGACCGAACCGACUAAUGUUGAAAAAUUAGCGGAUGACUUGUGGCUGGGGGUGAAAGGCCAAUCAAACCGGGAGAUAGCUGGUUCUCCCCGAAAGCUAUUUAGGUAGCGCCUCGUGAAUUCAUCUUCGGGGGUAGAGCACUGUUUCGGCUAGGGGGUCAUCCCGACUUACCAACCCGAUGCAAACUACGAAUACCGAAGAAUGUUAUCACGGGAGACACACGGCGGGUGCUAACGUCCGUCGUGAAGAGGGAAACAACCCAGACCGCCAGCUAAGGUCCCAAAGUCAUGGUUAAGUGGGAAACGAUGUGGGAAGGCACAGACAGCCAGGAUGUUGGCUUAGAAGCAGCCAUCAUUUAAAGAAAGCGUAAUAGCUCACUGGUCGAGUCGGCCUGCGCGGAAGAUGUAACGGGGCUAAACCAUGCACCGAAGCUGCGGCAGCGACACUAUGUGUUGUUGGGUAGGGGAGCGUUCUGUAAGCCUGCGAAGGUGGCCUGUGAGGGCUGCUGGAGGUAUCAGAAGUGCGAAUGCUGACAUAAGUAACGAUAAAGCGGGUGAAAAGCCCGCUCGCCGGAAGACCAAGGGUUCCUGUCCAACGUUAAUCGGGGCAGGGUGAGUCGACCCCUAAGGCGAGGCCGAAAGGCGUAGUCGAUGGGAAACAGGUUAAUAUUCCUGUACUUGGUGUUACUGCGAAGGGGGGACGGAGAAGGCUAUGUUAGCCGGGCGACGGUUGUCCCGGUUUAAGCAUGUAGGCGGAGGUUCCAGGUAAAUCCGGUACCUUUUAACGCUGAGGUGUGAUGACGAGGCACUACGGUGCUGAAGUAACAAAUGCCCUGCUUCCAGGAAAAGCCUCUAAGCAUCAGGUAACAUUAAAUCGUACCCCAAACCGACACAGGUGGUCAGGUAGAGAAUACCAAGGCGCUUGAGAGAACUCGGGUGAAGGAACUAGGCAAAAUGGUGCCGUAACUUCGGGAGAAGGCACGCUGGUGUGUAGGUGAAGUCCCUGCGGAUGGAGCUGAGACCAGUCGAAGAUACCAGCUGGCUGCAACUGUUUAUUAAAAACACAGCACUGUGCAAACACGAAAGUGGACGUAUACGGUGUGACGCCUGCCCGGUGCCGGAAGGUUAAUUGAUGGGGUUAUCCGUAAGGAGAAGCUCUUGAUCGAAGCCCCGGUAAACGGCGGCCGUAACUAUAACGGUCCUAAGGUAGCGAAAUUCCUUGUCGGGUAAGUUCCGACCUGCACGAAUGGCGUAAUGAUGGCCAGGCUGUCUCCACCCGAGACUCAGUGAAAUUGAACUCGCUGUGAAGAUGCAGUGUACCCGCGGCAAGACGGAAAGACCCCGUGAACCUUUACUAUAGCUUGACACUGAACAUUGAGCCUUGAUGUGUAGGAUAGGUGGGAGGCUUUGAAGCGUGGACGCCAGUCUGCGUGGAGCCAACCUUGAAAUACCACCCUUUAAUGUUUGAUGUUCUAACGUUGGCCCCUUAUCGGGGUUGCGGACAGUGUCUGGUGGGUAGUUUGACUGGGGCGGUCUCCUCCCAAAGAGUAACGGAGGAGCACGAAGGUUAGCUAAUCCUGGUCGGACAUCAGGAGGUUAGUGCAAUGGCAUAAGCUAGCUUGACUGCGAGCGUGACGGCGCGAGCAGGUGCGAAAGCAGGUCAUAGUGAUCCGGUGGUUCUGAAUGGAAGGGCCAUCGCUCAACGGAUAAAAGGUACUCCGGGGAUAACAGGCUGAUACCGCCCAAGAGUUCAUAUCGACGGCGGUGUUUGGCACCUCGAUGUCGGCUCAUCACAUCCUGGGGCUGAAGUAGGUCCCAAGGGUAUGGCUGUUCGCCAUUUAAAGUGGUACGCGAGCUGGGUUUAGAACGUCGUGAGACAGUUCGGUCCCUAUCUGCCGUGGGCGCUGGAGAAUUGAGGGGGGCUGCUCCUAGUACGAGAGGACCGGAGUGGACGCAUCACUGGUGUUCGGGUUGUCAUGCCAAUGGCACUGCCCGGUAGCUAAAUGCGGAAGAGAUAAGUGCUGAAAGCAUCUAAGCACGAAACUUGCCCCGAGAUGAGUUCUCCCUGAGACUUUAAGUCUCCUGAAGGAACGUUGAAGACGACGACGUUGAUAGGCCGGGUGUGUAAGCGCAGCGAUGCGUUGAGCUAACCGGUACUAAUGAACCGUGAGGCUUAACCUU